rnacentral:rRNA from 1 species
AACGUAGGAAACAAACGUUAUCCGGAGUUACUGGGCGUAAAGGGCGUGUAGGCGGUCUGUUAAGUCUGGCGUGAAAGCUCUCGGCUAAACCGGGAGAGGUCGUUGGAUACUGGCAGACUAGAGGACGGUAGAGGCGUGUGGAAUUCCGGGUGUAGUGGUGAAAUGCGUAGAGAUCCGGAGGAACACCAGUGGCGAAGGCGACACGCUGGGCCGUACCUGACGCUAAAGCGCGACAGCAUGGGGAGCAAACGGG